AACGAACGCUGGCGGAAGGACGAAAAUAGGAAAGUAGAAAGAGACCUUCGGGUCUAGUGGCGCACGGGUGCGUAACGCGUGGGAACCUGCCCUUAGGUUCGGAAUAACUCCCCGAAAGGGGUGCUAAUACCGGAUAAUGUCUUCGGACCAAAGAUUUAUCGCCUUUGGAUGGGCCCGCGUUGGAUUAGCUAGUUGGUAGGGUAAAAGCCUACCAAGGCGACGAUCCAUAGCUGGUCUGAGAGGAUGAUCAGCCACACUGGGACUGAGACACGGCCCAGACUCCUACGGGAGGCAGCAGUGGGGAAUAUUGGACAAUGGGCGAAAGCCUGAUCCAGCAAUGCCGCGUGAGUGAUGAAGGCCUUAGGGUUGUAAAGCUCUUUUACCCGGGAUGAUAAUGACAGUACCGGGAGAAUAAGCUCCGGCUAACUCCGUA
rnacentral:rRNA from 1 species